rnacentral:snRNA from 1 species
AUACUUACCUGGACGGGGUCCAUGGGUGAUCAAUAAGGCUCAUGGCCUACAUCAAUCGUUCACAUUGCACCUAGUGAGCACGUUGAUCUACCAAUCUCCUCUUCAUGGAAGAGUAGACGUUGUAAUUUGUGUUAGAGGGGGUAUGCGUCUGCGCGGCCCCUAC